GACGAAGGAUGCAAGCGUUAUCCGGAUUCAUUGGGUUUAAAGGGUGCGUAGGCGGACUGAUAAGUCAGUGGUGAAAUCUCUCAGCUUAACUGAGAAACUGCCAUUGAUACUGUUAGUCUAGAGUAUAGAUGACGUUGGCGGAAUAUGACAUGUAGUGGUGAAAUACUUAGAUAUGUCAUAGAACACCGAUUGCGAAGGCAGCUAACGAAACUAUAACUGACGCUGAGGCACGAAGU
rnacentral:rRNA from 1 species